UACAGAGGGGGCAAGCGUUAUUCGGAAUUAUUGGGCGUAAAGGCGCGUAGGCGGCCUUUCAAGUGACGGGUGAAAGCCCUCGGCUUAACCGAGGAACUGCCUGUCAGACUGGAAGGCUUGAGACCGGGAGAGGUGAGUGGAAUUCCCAGUGUAGCGGUGAAAUGCGUAGAUAUUGGGAGGAACACCAGUGGCGAAGGCGGCUCACUGGACCGGUACUGACGCUGAGGCGCGAAAGCGUGGGGAGCGAACAGG
rnacentral:rRNA from 1 species